UCUAGCUCUAAUACCGCCCUUUUUCUUCCCCUUCCUGGUUAUCUUCUUUUUUCGUGUGGUUUGUGGAGUCAAAGUCCCUUCGGAUUUCCUCAGGGAAUGUGUCAGUGGGCACGUUCCGCUAUGGAGGAAGUGCGAGCCGCAGCCGAAAGUCUCUGGAGUAAGUGAGCCGUUGUCCGGCUGGGCGAUUGUGAUGGUUUAGGGUUGCCGUUAUCUUGUCCACCAAUAACCACAAAAAUGUUUCUGUAACACUUCUAACACAAUAAGUUGUGCUAGCUCUGCAGGCCUCUCACAGUGUCUAAGCGGGAUGCGAAAAGCAUUAGCAAAACUUACAGUGAGGGAGUCUUCCAGACAUGACUCGUUCAAUGCCCUUGUAACAUAUUCUGGAGAAAGUCUGACAAAGCCUUCUUUAGACGAUGCCAUGAGUUUUGCUAAUAAAUAUUUGACACAGUUUUGCACCAGAUCAGUUUCCAUUUCAUCCAUGACAACUAAUGAGUGCUCUUGUUUUAACCCAAUGGCUAUUAUGUCACGCUCACUCUCAUCAACUUGCUCAAUAUAUUUCUUAACCAGAGGCCGAAGAUCCUCUAUUGUGAUACUCGGCCUGGUAGGUGGGAAUCGAGCUUCUGCCAGUUUUGACAUUGUGGCCUUGAGUGAGGUCUUAUAGCGUUUGACGAUUCUGCUAGUCUUUGACGAUUCCUCUGGCUUGCUUUUCUUCUGCCUUGACAAUAUUGUGCGGUGCGAAGCACACACAAACACAGACUCACACAGACAUACAUGUGAAGAAGUCUACUGUUGGAGCAGAUGAGAUCAUAUAAAUAAAACAUGACUUGGACUGAUUUGCUGAAGAGGCUCUCGAUCUGCUGAGCAAACACUCAUACAUCGUGUCUGGUGAUGGCUGAAGCAUAUGAAACAACUGUCAGAUUGUCGGACAUUCAGUCUACGGGCUCGAGUUUCCUGCCUUGUCCUGAUCUCAACCAUACAGCGUUACAGCACUGAAGUCCCAUGGUAAUCCUGAUCAUGACAGCCUCUGGU